rnacentral:lncRNA from 1 species
GGUAGGUAUUUUACUGGCCUAGCCUCCAACCUUUCCAUAGUGAUGGAGGAAGGAAGAUCAGUGAACAAAAAGCAAUUAAAAAAAUAGAAGUACAAGCAACUACAUCAUUCCUUUGGACCCUGAAGUGAACUCUAGUCGCUUUCCUUCUCUACGUUAAUUUCUCUUCAGAAAUAAACCCAAUGAAACUGUCUCCUAUAAAAGAAUAGGAUAUAGUAUAACUUGAAUAAGUUUCAAGAUGGAAGAAAGCCAAGAGAUAAAAGGCGGGGGCUUUCAAUCUAUAUACCAGACAUAGCUGUGAAAGUGCAUAAGGCCUUCUUUAGUAUAUAAUCUCGAUCGAAAAAGGAAUAACUUUCGUCAACCUAUG